rnacentral:misc_RNA from 1 species
CCGCUGCUACAGACUAGGUGGCAUAAGCUACCGCCCGAUCCAAAGGGCUCAGCUGCAUUCAUCGAUCCAUCCAUCCACUGUCGUUGCGUCGUUGCUGUCGAUUUUGUUUUUUAGCUUGUGCUCUUGUGCUUGUAAUCGUCGCGUGGCGGACUACUCGAGACAGACGCUGCAGAGAAUAACAAUGUCGGGGCGUGGGCAACUGUUCAUAGGCCGUCUCCCUCUUGAAUGCAGAGAAAGAGAUGUGGAGCAAGUGUUCGAACGAUACGGCAGAUUACUGCGCUGCGACGUCAAAUAUGGCACGGGAAUGGCCUAUGCUUUUGUGGACUACGAAGACCAUCGUGAUGCAGAGUGGCCAGACUACCGCUGUGUGGCACGGGGAGGAGGGCCGACCCUCCCGGGAGACACUACCGAAGCCCCGUUUCCUUUUGCCCGUGAAGCGGAGGCUGCGGCGACGGGACUCCCGUGCCGAGAGACGCCGGCAAAGAGAGAGACCCCCCCCGUUGCGAGACCGCUUUGCGAGAUGCGUUGCAAACCAUUGCUAGUGUGCCGGAGCCUGCCUGUUCUGUCCGACCCCCUGUCAGCGACUGGCAACGACAGGCUGCGACGCCGUCAAGUAUGAGAACGGCCGCGAGAUCCGCGGCCAGAGUGUGGUGGUGGAGUGGGCCCGGGGCCCUUCCUUCCGGCCUCCCGCAGCCAAAGUGAGCAGCUUUGAUGAGUGCUAUCGCUGCCGCCGCACGGGUCACUGGGCCAGGGACUGCCCCGAGGGCGACAGCAGGGAACGCCCUUACUACCCGUCGAG